CCCUUAGAUGUUCUGGGCCGCACGCGUGCUACACUGCGUAAAUCAAUGGGUAAGGGAACACGAAAGUGCAACCUAAUCUUGAAAUUUGCUCGUGAUGGGGAUCGACGGUUGCAAUUUUCCGUCGUGAACGAGGAAUACCUUGUAGGCGCGUGUCAUCAUCACGCGCCGAAUACGUCCCUGCCCUUUGUACACACCGCCCGUCGCUCCUACCGAUUGAGUGAUCCGGUGAGGCUCUGGGACCUGGACGGAAAGAGCGUUUCGCUUGUUCUGUUUGGGAAACUUGGUCGAACCUUAUCAUUUAGAGGAAGGAGAAGUCGUAACA
rnacentral:rRNA from 1 species